rnacentral:rRNA from 1 species
AGUGAACGCUGGCGGUAGGCCUAACACAUGCAAGUCGAACGGCAGCACAGUAAGAGCUUGCUCUUACGGGUGGCGAGUGGCGGACGGGUGAGGAAUACAUCGGAAUCUACUUUUUCGUGGGGGAUAACGUAGGGAAACUUACGCUAAUACCGCAUACGACCUACGGGUGAAAGCAGGGGAUCUUCGGACCUUGCGCGAUUGAAUGAGCCGAUGUCGGAUUAGCUAGUUGGCGGGGUAAAGGCCCACCAAGGCGACGAUCCGUAGCUGGUCUGAGAGGAUGAUCAGCGACACUGGAAGUGAGACACGGUCCAGGCUCCUACGGGAGGGAGCAGAGGGGAAUAUUAGACAAUGGGCGCAAGCCUGAUCCAGCCAUACCGCGUGGGUGAAAGAGGCCUUCGGGUUGUAAAGCCCUUUUGUUGGGAAAGAAAAGCAGCAGCUUAAUACCCCGCUGUUCUGACGGUACCCAAAGAAUAAGCACCGGCUAACUUCGUG